rnacentral:tRNA from 2 species
CAGUGUGUAGCUAAACAGCACAGCAUCUCCCUUACACCGAGAAGAUAUCCGUGCAAAUCGGAUCACACUGA